rnacentral:rRNA from 1 species
UACGGACCGUCCAAACGUUAUUCGGAAUCACUGGGCUUAAAGGGUGCGUAGGCGGUCCGGUAAGUCGGGUGUGAAAUACCUCAGCUCAACUGAGGAACUGCGCCCGAUACUGUCGGGCUUGAGGGAGACAUAGGUGAGCGGAACUUAGGGUGGAGCGGUGAAAUGCGUUGAGAUCCUAGGGAACACCAGUAGCGAAAGCGGCUCACUGGGUCUCUUCUGACGCUGAUGCACGAAAGCCAGGGGAG